GACAGAGGUGCCGAGCGUUAGGCGGAAUCACUGGGCUUAAAGCGUGUGUAGGUGGAUGCCUAAGUACCUUGUGAAAUCCCACGGCUUAACCGUGGAACUGCUUGGUAUACUGGGUGUCUUGAGCCAGCUAGGGGCUACCGGAACAAAUGGUGGAGCGGUGAAAUGCGUAGAUAUCUAGAGGAACGCCAAAGGUGAAGACAGGCGACUGGUUUGCAACUGACGCUCAUGGACGAAAGCGUGGGGAUCAAACGGG
rnacentral:rRNA from 1 species